rnacentral:rRNA from 1 species
AUGCUGACGAAGGCGAUCUCAUGGAUGAAGAAUUUGAUAGCGAGUCCAAUGCCUAGAGGAGUCCCAGUCAGUCUCGUACGACCCUGGAUUUGGUCACUGUAUUAUAUCCGCUUCCGCUACCAAAUAAAUUCAUCGAGCCUCACCUCGACGCUCGAUGAGAUGACAGUUUUAGAGACUUGUAUCUCUCUCCCCGCUGUGUUUCUCCACCACCGCCCUAUCCUCGAGUCAGUAGUAUGCCUCCACACCACUGUGUCAUGUCCGCCAUUAUGUAUAUUUAUUGGCGUGCUUGUAAUAAUUUGGUUGAGCAAUCGUAGUUCGACCCUGUAA